rnacentral:rRNA from 1 species
UACGUAGGGUGCGAGCGUUAAUCGGAAUUACUGGGCGUAAAGCGUGCGUAGGCGGUUCUCCAAGUCCGUUGUGAAAGCCCCGGGCUCAACCUGGGAAUGGCAGUGGAAACUAGGGGACGUGGAAUCUGGCAGAGGGGGGUGGAAUGCCGCGUGUAGCAGUGAAAUGCGUAGAGAUGCGGCGGAACGACCGAUGGCGAAGGCAGCCCCCUGGGCUGAGAUUGCGCUCAGGCACGAAAGCGUGGGGAGCAAAACAGG